rnacentral:tRNA from 1 species
GCCGAGGUAGCUCAGUUGGUAGAGCAGAGGACUGAAAAUCCUCGUGUCGGGAGUUCGAUUCUGCCCCUCGGCACCA